AUUGAACGCUGGCGGCAGGCUUAACACAUGCAAGUCGAACGAGUGGCGGACGGGUGAGUAAUGCUUGGGAAUCUGGCUUAUGGAGGGGGAUAACGACGGGAAACUGUCGCUAAUACCGCGUACCAUAGGAUGAGCCCAAGUGGGAUUAGCUGGUUGGCGGUGUAAAGGCCCACCAAGGCGACGAUCAGUACCGGGUCUGAGAGGAUGAUCCGCCACUCUGGGACUGAGACACUGCCCAGACUCCUACGUGAGGCAGCAGUGGGGAAUAUUGCGCAAUGGGGGCAACCUGACGCAGCCAUGCCGCGUGAAUGAAGAAGUCCUUCGGGUUGUAAAGUUCUUUCGGUGACGAGGCGUUAAUCACAGAAGAAGCACCGGCUAACUCCGUGCCAGCCGCCGCGGUAAUUC
rnacentral:rRNA from 1 species